rnacentral:rRNA from 1 species
UACGAACGCUGGCGGCGUGCUUAACACAUGCAAGUCGAACGGAAAGGCCCUGCUUGCAGGGUGCUCGAGUGGCGAACGGGUGAGUAACACGUGGGUGAUCUGCCCCUUACUUUGGGAUAAGCCUGGGAAACUGGGUCUAAUACUGGAUAGGACCAUGCUGUAGGUGGUGUGGUGGAAAGAUUAGUUUCGGUAAGGGAUGAGCUCGCGGCCUAUCAGCUUGUUGGUGGGGUAAUGGCCUACCAAGGCGUCGACGGGUAGCCGGCCUGAGAGGGUGGACGGCCACAUUGGGACUGAGAUACGGCCCAGACUCCUACGGGAGGCAGCAGUGGGGAAUAUUGCACAAUGGGCGCAAGCCUGAUGCAGCGACGCCGCGUGGGGGAUGACGGCCUUCGGGUUGUAAACUCCUUUCAGCCAUGACGAAGCCCUUGUGGUGACGGUAGUGGUAGAAGAAGCACCGGCUAACUACGUG